CCAAUCCCGAUUCGGGGAGGUAGUGACAAGAAAUAACAACUCGGGAGGUUCUACCUUUACGAGAUUGCAAUGAGAACAAUUUAAAUCACUUAACGAGGAACAAUUGGAGGGCAAGUCUGGUGCCAGCAGCCGCGGUAAUUCCAGCUCCAAUAGCGUAUAUUAAAGUUGUUGCAGUUAAAAAGCUCGUAGUCGAAUUUCUGGCUGUGCGUAUUCUCAGCUUCGGUUGAAAUAUAGUGCAGUCAUCCGUCUGCAAAACUACCACGGCCUUCAGUGGUCGGAUAGGGGAGCAGACACUUUACCUUGAAAAAAUUAGAGUGUUUCAGGCAGGUACUCGCCGGAAUACAUUAGCAUGGAAUAAUGGAAUAGGACUCAUGUUCGUUGUUGGUUAUGAACAGGAGUAAUGAUUAAUAGGGACAGUUGGGGGCAUUAGUAUUUAAUUGUCAGAGGUGAAAUUCUUGGAUUUAUUAAAGACUAACUUAUGCGAAAGCAUUUGCCAAGGAUGUUUUCAUUGAUCAAGAACGAAAGAUAGGGGAUCAAAGACGAUCAGAUACCGUCGUAGUCUUAUCUAUAAACUAUACCGACUCGGGAUCGGCAGGGUUAAUUAUUGGGCCCUGUCGGCACCGUAUGAGAAAUCAAAGUCUUUGGGUUCUGGGGGGAGUA
rnacentral:rRNA from 1 species